CUGCACUCCAGCCUGGGCAACAAGAGCAAAACUCCAUCUCAAAAACAAAAACAAAAACAAAAAACCUAGAUGUUUAUGGUUAAGGAAACAAAUUAAUAAUAAUAAAAAAGAUAAUAUCGAUUCUUACAAAAUACAGUAAUUAAGAAAAUUAAUCCUUUAUCACAAACUUUUGUAGCAGAGCACAUCUCUCCAUAUAUACAAGCAUUAUACCGAGGGUGAAUGUGUUCCUCCUCUUACUUUUUUUUUUUGAGACAGAGUUUUGCCGGGCACAGUGGCUCACGCCUGUAAUCCCAGCACUUUGGAAGGCUGAGGGGGCGGAUCACGAGGUCAAUAGAUGGAGACCAUCCUGGCCAAUAUGGUGAAACCCCAUCUCUACUAAAAACACAAAAAUUAGCUGGGCGUAGUGGUGCGUGCCUGUAGUCCCAGCUACUUGGGAGGCUGAGUAGCUGGGACUACAGGCACACAUCAUUGUGCCCAGCUACUUUUUGUAUUUUUAGUAGAGACGGGGUUUCACCGUGUUGGCCAGGCUGGUCUCGAACUCCUGACCUCAGGUGAUCCACCUGCCUAGGCCUCCCAAAAUGCUGGGAUUACAGGUGUGGUGAGCCACUGCGCCUAGCCCCUCCUCUUACUUUGGGGAACAUCCUACUCUGUCUAUGGAGCAGCUGUUGUUUCACCACUUUACUUUCUUAAUAAACUUGCUUAUACUUUGCACUGCGACUCGCCCUGAAUCUUUCUUGCAUGAGAUCCAAGAACCCUCUCUUGUGGUCUGGAUUGGGACCCCUUUCCUGUAACAAAUGCAUUGGCUGAUAGGAGAAUAAA
rnacentral:lncRNA from 1 species